rnacentral:rRNA from 1 species
AACGAACGCUGGCGGCAUGCCUAACACAUGCAAGUCGAACGAAGCCUUCGGGCUUAGUGGCGCACGGGUGCGUAACGCGUGGGAAUCUGCCCUUUGGUUCGGUAUAACAGUUGGAAACGACUGCUAAUACCGGAUGAUGACGAAAGUCCAAAGAUUUAUCGCCAGAGGAUGAGCCCGCGUAGGAUUAGCUAGUUGGUGUGGUAAAGGCGCACCAAGGCGACGAUCCUUAGCUGGUCUGCGAGGAUGAUCAGCCACACGGGGACUGAGACACGGCCCAGACUCCUACGGGAGGCAGCAGUGGGGAAUAUUGGACAAUGGGCGAAAGCCUGAUCCAGCAAUGCCGCGUGAGUGAUGAAGACCCUAGGGUUGUAAAGCUCUUUUACCCGGGAUGAUAAUGACAGUACCGGGAGAAUAAGCCCCGGCUAACUCCGUGCCAGCCGCCGCGGUAA